UACGUAGGGUGCAAGCGUUAAUCGGAAUUACUGGGCGUAAAGCGUGCGCAGGCGGUUUUGUAAGUCAGAUGUGAAAGCCCUGGGCUUAACCUAGGAAUUGCGCUUGAGACUGGAUAGCUUGGAGUGCGGCAGAGGGAGGUGGAAUUCCACGUGUAGCAGUGAAAUGCGUAGAGAUGUGGAGGAACACCGAUGGCGAAGGCAGCCUCCUGGGCCAGCACUGACGCUCAUGCACGAAAGCGUGGGGAGCAAACAGG
rnacentral:rRNA from 1 species